GCCGCCCGGACGCCAGGUCGACACGGAGUGGAUCGGCGGGAGUGGAGGACCCGAGCACGGCGGGUCGGGCCCGGUAACGGGCGCCGGUCCUUGGGGUGAAGCCGCGUGAGCGGCCGGGCAUCUUCGCCAGUCCGAACCCGACAGGUCACCCUUCACAGGCGGUUGACGAAGGGUUA
rnacentral:sRNA from 2 species